rnacentral:misc_RNA from 1 species
CAAAUAUUAAACACAGUCCGUUUACACAAAAAGGACUUGAAACACAAGUCUAAAUGUUUAUGUUAUAUAUUGUUGCUAAAUUUAUGUGACUGGCAGGAUGGCCUGCAAGCAGCCGACCUCCCAACAACUGGCAUACCUGGACGAGCUGAAGAUGCGUCUGCAGGAGCUCCGUAAGCGCCAAGAGACAUUUAUGGAGGAGACUGCCCAGAUUUUGCGGAACAUCAGCACUGAUCGACCAGAUCCAUUAAUGGCAGUCCCGCCAUUGGCGCCCAUUGAGGUAACUCAAAAGGUUGACGACGAGGAGUGCGUUGGUAAUAUCAAGCAGUUGAUUCAGCGUUUCGAGGAUCUGCGACAGACAUCUAGGCAGUUCAGCGACCAGCCCAUGCCCGAGGAGCUGGUUGGCGUUGAUGUGCGAAAGCUGCUUAAGGGCUAUGAGCGGCUGAUUGUGGAGGGUAACAUACUGCAGAAGUCAUGGCUCCUACUGAAGAAAACAACGGAAAGCUAGCACACAACCGGGCGUCCUAGUAUCAUCAAAUCAUCCAUCUCACUCCAAGAACCCUGUUUUGGUAUCGAGUCGUCAACCCAACAGGCGUAUAACAAUAGAUCAGGCUGGACUAACCAGCCCUAUGGCAAGGCCAAUAGGCAGCGCUUGGGGGCUUUUCUCCAACUGGUGCUUCGUAUAAAUCCGUUUAAUAGGUGUUCCAAGGGGAAAUCAAUUUCAAAUGCGACUGCUAGGCUGCCAUGUGCUAGGCAACGCCGACCCCCAGUUCAUCGGGAAGCUACUUCAAAGGGUAGUUCGCAUAAAUCCGUUUAACAGGUGAUACCAGGUGAUACAGCGCCGCUGACAAGAUAAACAGGAGCAGUUAACGAGGCAACAGCAAAUUCUCUGCCAAAUAGAAUUGAUAAUAUAAUAUUUAAAUAGCAUAAUUGUUAUCCGAACAUUCCAACCUGUGAUUUAGCAAAUCAAAAAAUAGUUGAUUAAAUCGAACUCCACGCCAACGCAUAAAUCAAUA